AUGCCGGCCUUCGCCGAGCCAGCCAUUGAUCCGCCUCUGGCGGACAGCUACCGCGCGCUGCUGCGCACCGACCAGCUCCGCCGCGGCGGCAUUGCGCCCGCGCUGUCGCCGGCGGUGCCGGAGAGCGUGGCCGUGCUGGAGCGCGACCUGCCGAUGAUCGACUUGAAGCGCCUGACGAGCGGCGACGCGGGGGAGAGGAAGGCGUGCGCGGACGCCAUGGCGCGCGCGGCGUCGGAGUGGGGCUUCUUCCAGGUGAUCAACCACGGCGUGGGGCGGGAGCUCCUGGAGGAGAUGCGGCGCGAGCAGGCGCGGCUGUUCCGCCUGCCGUUCGACACCAAGGAGAAGGCCGGGCUCCUCAACGGCUCGUACCGGUGGGGCAACCCGACGGCUACGUCGCUCCGGCACCUCUCGUGGUCGGAGGCCUUCCACGUUCCGCUCGCCAGCAUCUCCCGGGAGGACUGCGACUACGGAAAGCUCAGCUCCUUGAGGGCCGUGAUGCAGGAGGUGGCGGACGCGAUGUCGCGCGUGGCGGACACGGUGGCGGCGGCGCUGGCGGAGGACCUCGGGCACGAUGCGUGGGGCGGCGAGCCGGCGUUCCCGGCGGGGUGCGACGGGACGACGUGCUUCCUGCGGCUCAACAGGUACCCGGCAUGCCCGUUCGCGCCGGACACGUUCGGGCUGGUGCCGCACACGGACAGCGACUUCCUCACCAUCCUCUGCCAGGACCAGGUCGGGGGCCUGCAGCUCAUGAAGGACUCCCGCUGGGUCGCCGUGAAACCCCGCCCCGACGCGCUCAUCGUCAACAUCGGCGAUCUGUUUCAGGCGUGGAGCAACAACAGGUACAAGAGCGUGGAGCACAAAGUGGUGGCCAACGCCAAGGCGGAGCGCCUCUCCGUCGCCUACUUCCUGUGCCCGUCGUACGACUCGCUGGUCGGCACAUGCGGCGAGCCGUCGCCGUACAGGCCGUUUACCUUCGGGGAGUACCGGAGGAAGGUGCAGGACGAUGUCAAGAGAACCGGCAAAAAAAUUGGGCUCCCCAACUUUCUCAAACAGUCUCCCGUUGACGCCAUGAAUCACAGCCUCUGUACUUAA
rnacentral:rRNA from 1 species